UCUACGGGAGGCAGCAGUGGGGAAUAUUGCGCAAUGGGCGAAAGCCUGACGCAGCGACGCCGCGUGAGGGAUGAAGGUCUUCGGAUCGUAAACCUCUGUCAGCAGGGAAGAACGGUCACUGUGCUAAUCAGCAGUGAAUUGACGGUACCUGCAAAGGAAGCACCGGCUAACUCCGUGCCAGCAGCCGCGGUAAUACGGGGGGUGCGAGCGUUAAUCGGAAUUACUGGGCGUAAAGCGCUCGUAGGCGGUAUGUCAAGUCAAGGGUGAAAUCCCCGCGCUAAACGUGGGAACUGCCUUUGAAACGGGCAAACUGGAGUGUGUGAGAGGAUAGUGGAAUUCCAGGUGUAGGAGUGAAAUCCGUAGAUAUCUGGAGGAACAUCAGUGGCGAAGGCGACUAUCUGGCACAUAACUGACGCUGAGGAGCGAAAGCGUGGGUAGCAAACAGGAUUAGAUACCCCAGUAGUC
rnacentral:rRNA from 1 species